rnacentral:ncRNA from 1 species
GAAAGCUGGAUGCACAGGAAACUUGCAUGUCCAGUUUGGAGAGGGGCGGUUGGAAACGUGCCAGUAAUGGCAACGCGCUAGCCGCCUACUCUAC